UGGGGAAUUUUGGACAAUGGGGGCAACCCUGAUCCAGCAAUGCCGCGUGUGUGAAGAAGGCCUGCGGGUUGUAAAGCACUUUAGGUGUGGAGAAAGGCCGUUGGGUUAAUAGUCCAACGGAUUGAUGUUACACACAGAAUAAGCACCGGCUAACUCUGUGCCAGCAGCCGCGGUAAUACAGAGGGUGUAAGCGUUAAUCGGAAUUACUGGGCGUAAAGCGCAUGUAGGUGGGACAAUAAGUUUGAUGUGAAAGCCCCAGGCUUAACCUGGGAAUGGCGUUGAAGACUGUUGUUCUAGAGUUUGACAGAGGGUCGUGGAAUUUCCGGUGUAGCGGUGAAAUGCGUAGAGAUCGGAAAGAACACCAGUGGCGAAGGCGGCGACCUGGGUCUAAACUGACACUGAGGUGCGAAAGCGUGGGGAGCAAACAG
rnacentral:rRNA from 1 species